UACGUAGGGUGCGAGCGUUAAUCGGAAUUACUGGGCGUAAAGGGCGCGUAGGCGGCCUGCUAAGUCGGACGUGAAAUCCCUCGGCUCAACCGGGGAACUGCGUCCGAUACUGGCGAGGCUUGAAUCCGGGAGAGGGAUGUGGAAUUCCAGGUGUAGCGGUGAGAUGCGUAGAUAUCUGGAGGAACACCAGUGGCGAAGGCGACUACCUGGCCUGUUUCUUGACGCUGAGGCGCGAAAGCUAGGGGAGCAAACGGG
rnacentral:rRNA from 1 species